rnacentral:lncRNA from 1 species
UUUAAUAUUAAAAUUAUAAUAACUAACUAAAAAUUAUUUUAAUUAUAUAUAUUUGAUAUGAAUGAAAAAAUGGAGAAUAUAAAAAAAAUAAAAAAAUAUUAAAAAAAAAGCUAAAAGAGACGUACUUAAUUCACAUUAAGAAAAGAGACAGAAAGAUGUUAGGAUUUGAUGCCUCAAAAUUUGAUCCAUAUUGAGCUUACAGUGAGAUCCACGACAACGAAUGGAGUCUAACAAACCCAAGAAUAGUCCA